rnacentral:lncRNA from 1 species
AAAUAGUAGACUUCACAGCAAUUUCGUACCUGUAUGGGCAGUUUGACUCCAGCUCCUUUUUCCUUUUUUUUUUUUUUUUUUUUUUUUUUUUUUUUUUAGGAAAAGUUAAUUACCUAUUUCUCAGCUGACAGCAGAUAAGGAAAAUGGAUGUAUGGGGCAUUGCUGCCCUCUCCUGGGUUGCACCCGCACAACGCGCAGCGCACAUCUCCCCUAUGCGCGCACCUUUUUCCUUUUUUUUUUUUUUUUCCCCCAAAUUUUAAAUCUACCAAUUAUUAUUAUUAUUAUUUUUAACCUGAACGCUGUCCCAAGGGUCUGGCAGCGCAGGAAACUUCCCCGCUGUUUGCUAACUCCUAGAACCGCAGGAUCACUGAGCUUGGAAAAGACCUCUGAGACCACCAGGUCCAACCCCAACCCACCCCCGCCAGCGCUGCCCACUGCCCUCAGUGCCACAUCCACGGUUCUGGAACACCCCCAGGGACCGUGACCCCCACUCCCCCCCCGGGCAGCCUGUGCCAACGCACCACCACUCCUUCUGGGAAGAAAUUCUUCCUAAUCCUCCACGCACAGGGGUGCACGAGGAUCCCCUCAUCCUGCUUGGCACCGGUGAGCUGAGCAAUGCCCAAAGCCACCAGGAUGGCGGUGGUAGAGGAGGGGGCUGUCCCCCACCCCCCGCGCCCCCCGUGGCCUCCGUCCCCCACGCAUCUCCCCACUGCUUCCCCCCCAGCGCUAAUGUUCCCGGAGAUCCAAUAUCAUUAAAGCAGAUAACGCCGCCGCUGUUUGUUGUGACACCGUGUUUUUGUGAGUGACGAGCGAAGGGUUAACUCCAGGGAAUUGGGAAUAUUGCCUGGCUGCUAAUAACACGUGAGUCACCGCCGGAAUAACACAUGGGUGCAGGGAGAGACACGGCACCCGGCUGCACAGGGUCGGGGUUUGCCGCGUGCAGGCAGCAAGGAGCGACCCUACACAGAGGGUACGUGCUGCACCCCAAAUCCGGGCCCCCAAAAGGAGGGGUCAGCUGCUGGGGUCGAGCCCUCCAGCACGGACUUAUCGCCGCGCUCCGCGCCCCGAAAUCCAGCAGCUCCAUCCCUGCACCCCAACGGGACGGGGGUCACGGGGAUGGGGGGCAGAGAGAGGACAGAGACCCGCGCGCAUCGCUCCCACCUCCUGGAAACCACGCGGAGAGGAGCCCCGCGCUCCAGCCCGGUCAGCAGAGGAAUCUGCACACGCAGACAGGAUCGCUGCAAUCGCUGGUGGCUGAGGAUGAUUCCAACACGAGGAGGAUCCCUCCGUCCUCGCCUCGCGGGGUUUAGCGCCGUGUGAACGUGGCGAGGCCGUCUAUCGCUGCACCUGCCCCCCCUAUGUACACGGGUUGCUGUGCCUGCCCCGUGCGCUGCUGCACCUGCCCUGCACGUGCACCAGGACGGAGGGAGGGGUCGGCUGCUUUGCACAAGCGGGGACAGAAGGUCGCACGGAAAAAAACAUUCCGUCGCAAGCGAGGAUGGGUUAGAAUGUAAAAGAUUUAUUAAUUUAAUCCGAAGCAUUAAAAGGUCAUGUAUUAAUCAAAGAGAUGCUUAAAACUGUCAAAGUCCUUUGUCAGGUUUGAAGUGCAUCUCUAUAGUUAUCAUAAAAUAUAUAUAGAUAUCAGGCUGGCACGGAGCCCUCGCCGGGCUGGGAGCCGGGGGGGGGGGAAGGAGUGGGGUCCCUGUGGGUGGGCUCUGUCAGCUCCGGGGGGGGCAGCACCCCCACAUCCAUGCAGGCGGGUCACCCCGCUUGUCCCCAGCGUGAGUUUGUCCCCGCUCGGGUCUGCGGUCUGGG